GGGCCGAUGAUGCUAAACAUGUUCCUAUGGUCUCUGAGGACUCUCUAAGCAUAUUUCCCAAGAGCUGAGGCCC
rnacentral:snoRNA from 1 species